UACAAUUUACCUAUUUUACUAAUUACUAGAACGUUAUGUCACAGAUAAAGACGACGUCGUCUUUAUCUAUUGUUAUGUUGUAAGAAAUUUGUAAAAAGAAGUCUUCAUUUUAAUGUGGCUUCGAACUCCAAUUCCAGCUGUUUCAUGCUAAAUACUCCUCGAGGAUGCUAAAAAAUGGCUCUUAAUAUUUUUUUAACAUAAUAUCAUGAUAAUAUCUUACAUGGAUAUUACUUGUUCAAAUUCAAAUGCUAUUUUUCUAAUAGCACUAGCUCUAUAUCCUAUUUGGAAAAAAUCAAGUUUAUUGUGUGCUGCUGUCAUUCAUUCAAGGUGGCCUUCUACAACCAGUACCAACCACAACAAAUCAAGUCGUACAUUAAAUUGGAAUCUGGGAGAUCGUUGAUGGCUUUCGAGUCCCAUUGCU